AGCCACAACAGCUAACCCCGUCGCGGCGGAUCCCACGCCGGACGCCCCCUCCCCUCGCUCCGCUCGGGUGUGAGCCCCUCGCCGCCGCCGCCCGUCGCCGGAGGGCGAGGAGGAGGCGGGAAAGAUGAAGACGACCAAGGGGGGCAAGGUGAUGAACCCCACCGAUGCCUUCCGCAAGGAGCAGCGGAAGAAGGAGCUCAAGCGGAACAAAAAAGAAAGGAAGAAGGUGCGGGAGGUUGGUAUUUUAAAAAAGGAUCCAGAGGCUAUACGGGAGCAGAUUGAGAAAUUGGAGAAGAUGAAGGCUGAUGGUGCUCUUGACAAGGCUAGAAAACAUAAGAAAAGACAGCUAGAGGAUACAUAUAAUCUUAUUGUUAAGAAACGAAAGGAAUAUGAACAGAAAAUGAAAGAGAAGGGUGAGCAGCCGGUUAUGUUUGGCCAUCUUCCACCAAAGAGGCGGCCUGCAGCAGAGGAAGAUGAUAGAGCUAAUCCUAAACCUGAGGACUCUGUUUACUAUCAUCCAACCUUAAAUCCAUCUGGAGCACCACCACCUGGAAAACCUCCCAUGUACAAAUCAUCUAUAGGACCAAGGAUCCCACUGCCUUCGUCAUCCAACGCCGGGGCCACAUCUUCCAUGUCAGAGUCUGAAGCAGGUCCAUCCACCCUGCCACCCCCUCCACCGCCGCCACCAUUGCCAGCCACCUCAGAACCCAUUGAUCCAUCUGCUCCUUUCCCUUUGCCCCCACUCCCACCACCGCCCCCACCACCACCUAAGCCUGUCAGUGACUCAGCACUGCCAAGCUUACCGCCGCCACCUCCGCCUCCGCCGGGCCCACCACCAAGAGAACCUGCAUCAGGUCAUACACUACUUCCACCACCCCCGCCUCCACCGCAGAGGUCAUCUGGUGCAAACGAGAGCAUGACAGAUUCUGCUCAGCCCUCAGUUGUCCUUCCUCCACCGCCUCCACCGCCUGGGUUGCCACCAAAAUCAAAUGACGUGGAAGCUGCUGGCACUUCAAAGGAUACUCCUGGAUUUAAACAAGAUACCACUGCAAGGAUCUUACCACCACCACCUCCACCACAAUCAUCAAAUUUGCCACCUCUACCACCAAGGCCCCCAUCGCAACCUGAUAUGCUAGCUCCUGGAGCCAUGAGAUUUCCGCCACCGCCACCAGAUUCAAGGCCACAGUUUAUGGCUCCUGGAGUUGCCAGGCCUCCUCCACCUCCUCCAGGGUUACCCCCAUCUCAGAUGCCAAUGCCACCAUAUGGCGUACUUCCUGGUCCACCACCGAUGCCUAGGCCUCCAUUUUUGCCAGGACCCCCUAUGCAUCCAGAAGAGUUUGCUGCCUUUGGACCAAGGCCUCAGUUACCUCAGCAGCCAUCAUAUGUGAAGUCAGCAGCCCCAACAGUUGUCAAGAGACCAUUGGCACAGCACACUCCUGAGCUGACGGCUAUGGUGCCUGCAUCAGUUCGGGUCAAGAGAGAAUCCGCCCUCCCGAAACCAAAACCAAAGGCGCAGCAGCAGCAGCAGUCAUCAUCGCCAUCCAUUUCAAAGCCUUCAGUGACCCUUAUAAGAAGUGAUGUCCAGCCAUCUUCGUCAGCACCCAAGCCGCCAAGCAUUGAUGAUUCAUAUAUGGCAUUCUUGGAAGAUAUGAAGGAAUUAGGUGCUCUUGAUGGGUAACUCAAGCAGAUAUGUCUGAUUGCACUAUAGCUUCUGCUGUUUGAACAUGAGCACCAUCAUUGAUCUGUGGCUACUUGUUGGGAUCUUAGCUUCUUAGACGCCCAGACAGGGAGCAUGAACAGUAUGAAGGUGGCAAUAAACGUAGGUGCUGAAUUCUCCAAUAAUAGUUAGAAAAUUCAACCCCUUACACUGUGGAGAGGGGACUAUUUAUACCUCUAGCCCUCGGCCAGGUUUUCCUAAAUUGCCCCCUCCUAACUCAUUUACUGCUCACUUCUAGCCGGCUUCGGGGUAAAAUUAUAAGGUGAGAGGUGUACAAAUCCAACCUCACGUAUUCGAGAGGUACAAAUCCGACCUUCUCACAUAUUCACGUUUCACACACAUCUACAACUGACGAAGAUUUUCACUUCCUUCGGGGACCUCCGGGAGUCACAGCCAUGAAGGUUCCAUCAACGAGCAAUCAGCCGUCAUCUUUGUUCCCGAAGUUGAUCAAUUUACCCGAAGGUCCUGGUCUUAGAACUUGUGUUUCUGAGCAACCGUUCGUCACCUUCGGCCGGACGAAGGUGAUAUCCUUCGUCACCGAAGGUAUUGACCUUUACGCUUGCGCUUCUGGGCAGCCAUCCGUCACCAUCGGUCUACAGAAGGUGAUAUCUUUCGUCCCGAAGGUCAUGGUCUUUGAGCUUGCGCUUCUGAGUGUUCAUCCGAUACAUUCGGUAUGCUUGGCUUCCUCUCGUUGGGGCCCUGCAAACGAGUUAAGGAGCAUUUUCGAUGGUGAGGGCUUGACCCGAAGGUCCAAUCCCCAACAGUAGCCCCUCGAGGGCAAGGUCCGAAGCCGAUGGUCCGAAUCCGCGUUGAAAAGAAGAUUGCAAGUAACCUUCGGGAAGCUCCCGAGGAAAAACGUCUCCCAAACUGUCGGCUGCAACAGUCAGUUUUGGUGGUUUAUGUGUUGUGCUCCUAUUGCGCCGCUUGGGCGGCCGACUCCUCGAUUUUACUGUUGGUACUGUUACUUUCCCUCGCCUAUAUAAGUGGAGGGGGGUUAAAUUCUGUGCCCUCUCGAGCUUUGCUUACCUUCGGCGCUUUCCACUAUUAAGCGUUUCUUUCGAAGGUUUCGUUAUCGUGCGUGGUCAAGUUGGUCAUUUUCCUCGGUGUAAGUGGAUUUGUGGUUCAUGGCUCGUACUAAGCAAACAGCGAGAUUGAUCGAAGGUUCGUUUGAACCCUUUUUUCUAAUUUGCUUUUCUUCGUUUUUGUGUAGAUAUGGCAUUCCUUAAGAGGGCGGUUCUUCGUGCAGACUCUGGUCCAGCUGCCGAAGGAGAGGCGGGUGGUUCGCAGCCUUCUCAGCAGCAGCAGUCCAGCGAAAGUCUUUCGGCGGUGUCCGCGGACGUGUCGGAACUAAUGGCUCCGGAGAAACGUAAGACUUUGCUUUUCGAGCCAUCUGUCGUUUCUCAGAGCACGAUAGACUUCUACGUUUCGAAGGGCUAUUUCGCCGAGGGUAUUUGUCGACCUCCGGGGGCCGAAAUGAUUCUUGUACCGGAGACCGGCGAGGUUGUGGUCUUUAAGGAUUUUUUUUACAGCGGGGCUUAGGCUUCCGAUGGAUCCAAUUGUGCCGAAUGUUUUGGACCCAUUUAACGUGAAGCUCCACCACUUUACCCCGAACGGGAUUGUUGCAUUGGCCAAGUUUUUGUGGGUGGUGCGGACCUUCGGAGGGGAAGUGCCCGUGGAUGCUUUUUGUAGGCUUUUUCAGCUGCACUGCCAGCCUCGUAAUGUUUAUGUAGAUGAUGAUGCCGAGCUUAGCGAGGUUCAGAACGGCUGCUGCACCUUCGUUCCUCGCAAGCCGAACAAAAGGACCGGCCUAGUGAAGGUUAUGCUCUCGACAGCUUAUAAGAACAAGUGGGAGGGGAACUGGUUGGGAUACUGGUUUUAUGCCAAGUUUGGCUUUCCUGAUCCCGAAUGUUCUGUCGAGGAGAAGUAUCUGCUGGCUUCGGACAUUGAGAUGUUCGAUCACGUCUAUCAGCCUGCCUUCAGCAAGCAUGGGCCGGGUUUCAAAUCGUGUCUGGAGGCCUUCAUGACGGCUUGCCAAGUUUGCGGUGGCAGGGAUGCUGUCGAGGAAUUUCUGGCUGCGAAGGUUUGGCCUUUGGCUGCUGGUUGGUCUCCGUCGAGGUUCGAGCGCAAGCGCUUUGCUGGUUUGAAGUAUGAUGUGACUUUUCCGGUUUUUGGGCUUCGAAGGUCCGAACGUUCCAGUGACGAGGUUAUUUUGGGUGAGCUAGAGCGGCAGGCUGCGGAGAUACUGGGUCCUUGGAACAAAAAGGAGUAUCAUUCUUUGGUGGAGGUGUGCGGCGAUAACCUUCGGUUGAACCGGUGUUUGGCUGAGAUGGGCGUGGCCUACGAGGCUCGGCCGGUGCCGGCGAAUGCCGUUCCAAGAAUGACUCCGCCGGGGAACGUUGGUUCGGAGGUUCCUGGGUCGAAGUCCAGAGGUAAGGCUAAGGUGGAGGAGGCGGGGAGCUCCGGGGCUACUAGCACGCGAGGUCGCGGGCGUGGUCGGCAACCUUCGAGCACGAGGGUUUCUGUUGCGAGGGCUGAGAGCGCCAAGAGGAAGGCGCAAGAUGAGGAGGUUUCUUCGGGCGAUAGCGGUACGCCCUCAUUCAUGGAAGAGCUCAUGGGGACUGUGGGCGGGGAGAUUGUAGUUCCCGAGGGGAGGCUUUUUAGAUCCCGUUAUGAUCUUAGCGAUGAGUACGAGACCAUGCUUUUUGGUUCCGGACGUCGGGUUGAGGUGGCGAGAGCGCUGAUUAACCUUCACUGUCCUCCGAAGGUAUGACGAAACGCCGGAGGAUUCAGAGUCUUGUCAAGACUGGGGCUAAGCAUGCGGAUAUUUCGAAGCCGCCUGAGCCUAGGCCUAUUGGGCCUGUGGUUGGUGUCCCGAAGGAUGCAGCGAUGACGACGGCGGUCGCCACACCUUCCCUUGUGGCGGGUGCCGAGGAGGGGGAGAUCGUGGUUGGUGAGACGCUGCUCUCUCUCAAGGGCGGGGAUUUCCCAGGCGGAGUCUCGGCUCUACCUACGGAUAGGGAGGUGGAUGUUCUGGAGGGGUUGGGCUUCGAUGAAGCCGGUAAGCUUCGUUUCCUUGGUUUUGACAGCUCUUGGUUUGUUUGUGAUCUUAUAGGGUCCCUCUUUUUAUUUCCUUCGCAGCUGUGUCUGCGUCGAUGAAGCAACUUUUGGCGUUGAUGCAAGGGCCUGGCCGGACCGGGAUUCUCCCCCCUGAGAAAGGUAAUGCGGGGUUUUAUUUUGUUUAGCUUUUGUUCAAUUUUUGGUGUCCCCGAAGGUCAUUUUGUGUUUGAUUUAGAGUUUAAUGCAGCUGUGGCAGAAACAUCCACUUCUGAUGCUGCAUUCAUCGUGGCCGACUUGAGCAAGAAGCUUGCCCACGCUAGCCGAAUUUUGAUGCAGAAGGCCAAGGCGGACGUGGACCUUCGGGUCAAGAGCGCCACUGAGAAGCUGAGCCUGUCGGAGAAGCUACGGCGGGCUGAGGCGGAGGUUCUCGCUCUGAGUGAUGAGAACACACAAUUGAAGGGGAAGUGUACCAGGCUGGAGGCGGCAGCGAGGGACAACGAGAAGGUUCUUGAAAACCUUCGGAAGACGGUAGAGGAUGACGCCAAUGAGAAGAAAGCUCUUAGGGAUAAGGUUAGUGAGUUGGAGUCGAUUCAGACUAGGGUGGUGGAGCUCGAGGGGGUUUUCUCGGAGGUAGCCGCUCGGGCCGACGCGGUGUACCAAGAGUACAGGAAGGCUCUUGAUGCCCUUGGAGCGGAGCCUUUGCCCUUGCCUGAACCGACCGAAGGUCCCCAAGUUUUCUUUCAACUUUUGGGCUAGCUGCUAUCGGAGUUCGAGGGCCUCGGGGAGGUGAUGAACGUUGCAAAUGAUAACGCGGCGUCCGUCUCCUUUGAGAGGCUUGUUUGGAACCUUCUCCGUGCCGGCGCCGUCGACCUUUCUAAGAUCGAAGGGGGUUUUCAGUACGUUCCCUACGAGGGUUUGUCCGAAGAGGUUGACAGGAUUCAGAAUGUCAAGAUUGCGUACUUCGAGCGCUUCUGGGAGCCUUCGGGGAAGGUCGCUGUUAGGACCCUCGCGGCUGCUGCGACAGGGGAAUUAAAUCCUGAUCAGCCUUCAGUGGUCGAUGGGACACACGAAGCGAGCAGGUCUCCUUCGGGACGCGAAGCGGACAGAUCGCCGAGAGCUCAGGUGUAAAGACUAGCUUGUAGGUGUUUGUUUUGGGGGGCUUUAGAACUUGUUUGUAAAUAUUCCCAUGCUGCAGGGCGUGAACAAUGCUAGGGUAUCGAUGAGCUGGGAGGCUUUCAGCCUUGCUCGUCCCGGAUGCAGCGUUGCAGAAUACUUGUUCUGGUCCGGACGUGAUUCAUUGUAAUCUUUUUUCUUUCGUUCGAAUGUUAACUUCGCGUUGCUUCUC